GUUUGAAAGGUUACGCCCCUGACUUCGCGUGGGUUGACACAGAUUCUGACUGAGAGUCACAGCCUCAGAGGCAACGUAAACAAGCGUUAUAUUUCUCUAUAAACGAUGGUGUCUGUACUGCCUUACCACUUCGAGCUCGAUCCAGAGAGUUCAGAAGGCCGUUACGAUAUAAACGAUCUCCGUCAAUGAAUGCGAUUGGAUUUAACUUUUUUAGGUGUCCUUAGCUCUGCCAGAAUGCUAAACGAAGACGAAAAUGUGUUGCAAAGACAUCCAAAAGGUUUUAAGGAGAAUGCAACAUGUUCCAGGGCCUCUUACCUGCGUGAUUCAUCAUCCAGGUUUUGCACAAAUUGUCUAAAUCCCUACACACAGAACAUUUAUUGUACCGACUAUAAGCCUUUGAGGUGCAGGACUAGAAUACGCUUGGAGCUUCCCGAUCGGAAUGUUGGCUUCCGACGACCCCUGCACUGAAGAUGGCAUGCAAUCACGUCCUCCUUUGAAGGUCUCUCAAACUGUGAUGCCAGGUCCAUUGGAAUCGGGGUUUCCUUCAGCU